rnacentral:rRNA from 1 species
UACGUAGGCAGCAAACGUUGUUCGGAAUUAUUGGGCGUAAAGAGCUCGUAGGCGGUGUGUCGCGUCGGUCGUGAAAACUUGGGGCUUAACCCUGAGCUUGCGGUCGAUACGGGCAUCACUGGAGUUCGGCAGGGGAGACUGGAAUUCCUGGUGUAGCGGUGAAAUGCGCAGAUAUCAGGAGGAACACCGGUGGCGAAGGCGGGUCUCUGGGCCGAUACUGACGCUGAGGAGCGAAAGCGUGGGAGCAAACAGG